CACGUAGGGCGCGAGCGUUGUCCGGAAUCACUGGGCGUAAAGGGCGCGUAGGCGGAUGGCACAGUCAGAUGUGAAAUUCCUGGGCUUAACCUGGGGGCUGCAUUUGAUACGUGUGAUCUAGAGUGAGGAAGAGGGUUGUGGAAUUCCCAGUGUAGAGGUGAAAUUCGUAGAUAUUGGGAAGAACACCGGUGGCGAAGGCGGCGACCUGGUCCUUAACUGACGCUGAGGCGCGAAAGCGUGGGGAGCAAACAGG
rnacentral:rRNA from 1 species